UACAGAGGGUGCGAGCGUUACUCGGAAUUACUGGGCGUAAAGCGCGCGUAGGCGGCUUUGCAAGUCGGUUGUGAAAUCCCCAGGCUUAACCUGGGAACUGCAUCCGAGACUGCAUUGCUAGAGUAUGGGAGAGGGAAGUGGAAUUUCCGGUGUAGCGGUGAAAUGCGUAGAUAUCGGAAGGAACAUCAGUGGCGAAAGCGACUUCCUGGACCAAUACUGACGCUCAUGUGCGAAAGCGUGGGGAGCAAGCAGG
rnacentral:misc_RNA from 1 species